rnacentral:rRNA from 1 species
GAUUAAGUUAUUAAGGGCGCACGGUGGAUGCCUUGGCACUAGAAGCCGAAGAAGGACGUUACUAACGACGAUAUGCUUUGGGUAGCUGUAAGUAAGCGUUGAUCCAGAGAUUUCCGAAUGGGGGAACCCAACAUGAGUUAUGUCAUGUUAUCGACAUGUGAAUUCAUAGCAUGUCAGAAGGCAGACCCGGAGAACUGAAACAUCUUAGUACCCGGAGGAAGAGAAAGAAAAAUCGAUUCCCUGAGUAGCGGCGAGCGAAACGGGAAGAGCCCAAACCAACAAGCUUGCUUGUUGGGGUUGUAGGACACUCUAUACGGAGUUACAAAAGAACAUGUUAGACGAAUCAUCUGGAAAGAUGAAUCAAAGAAGGUAAUAAUCCUGUAGUCGAAAACAUAUUCUCUCUUGAGUGGAUCCUGAGUACGACGGAGCACGUGAAAUUCCGUCGGAAUCUAGGAGGACCAUCUCCUAAGGCUAAAUACUCUCUAGUGACCGAUAGUGAACCAGUACCGUGAGGGAAAGGUGAAAAGUACCCCGGAAGGGGAGUGAAAGAGAACUUGAAACCGUGUGCUUACAAGUAGUCAGAGCCCGUUUAUGGGUGAUGGCGUGCCUUUUGUAGAAUGAACCGGCGAGUUACGAUCUGAUGCAAGGUUAAGCAGCGAAUGUGGAGCCGUAGCGAAAGCGAGUCUGAAUAGGGCGUUGAGUAUUUGGUCGUAGACCCGAAACCAGGUGAUCUACCCUUGGUCAGGUUGAAGUUCAGGUAACACUGAAUGGAGGACCGAACCGACUUACGUUGAAAAGUGAGCGGAUGAACUGAGGGUAGCGGAGAAAUUCCAAUCGAACUUGGAGAUAGCUGGUUCUCUCCGAAAUAGCUUUAGGGCUAGCCUCAAGUGAUGAUUAUUGGAGGUAGAGCACUGUUUGGACGAGGGGCCCCUCUCGGGUUACCGAAUUCAGACAAACUCCGAAUGCCAAUCAAUUUAACUUGGGAGUCAGAACAUGGGUGAUAAGGUCCGUGUUCGAAAGGGAAACAGCCCAGACCACCAGCUAAGGUCCCAAAAUAUAUGUUAAGUGGAAAAGGAUGUGGCGUUGCCCAGACAACUAGGAUGUUGGCUUAGAAGCAGCCAUCAUUUAAAGAGUGCGUAAUAGCUCACUAGUCGAGUGACACUGCGCCGAAAAUGUACCGGGGCUAAACAUAUUACCGAAGCUGUGGAUUGUCCUUCGGACAAUGGUAGGAGAGCGUUCUAAGGGCGUUGAAGCAUGAUCGCAAGGACAUGUGGAGCGCUUAGAAGUGAGAAUGCCGGUGUGAGUAGCGAAAGACGGGUGAGAAUCCCGUCCACCGAUUGACUAAGGUUUCCAGAGGAAGGCUCGUCCGCUCUGGGUUAGUCGGGUCCUAAGCUGAGGCCGACAGGCGUAGGCCAUGGAUAACAGGUUGAUAUUCCUGUACCACCUAGUAUCGUUUUAAUCGAUGGGGGGACGCAGUAGGAUAGGCGAAGCGUGCUGUUGGAGUGCACGUCCAAGCAGUAAGGCUGAGUGUUAGGCAAAUCCGGCACUCGUUAGGCUGAGCUGUGAUGGGGAGAGGAAAUUGUUUCCUCGAGUCGUUGAUUUCACACUGCCGAGAAAAGCCUCUAGAUAGAUAACAGGUGCCCGUACCGCAAACCGACACAGGUAGUCAAGAUGAGAAUUCUAAGGUGAGCGAGCGAACUCUCGUUAAGGAACUCGGCAAAAUGACCCCGUAACUUCGGGAGAAGGGGUGCUCUUUAGGGUUCACGCCCAGAAGAGCCGCAGUGAAUAGGCCCAAGCGACUGUUUAUCAAAAACACAGGUCUCUGCUAAACCGUAAGGUGAUGUAUAGGGGCUGACGCCUGCCCGGUGCUGGAAGGUUAAGAGGAGUGGUUAGCUUCUGCGAAGCCACGAAUCGAAGCCCCAGUAAACGGCGGCCGUAACUAUAACGGUCCUAAGGUAGCGAAAUUCCUUGUCGGGUAAGUUCCGACCCGCACGAAAGGCGUAACGAUUUGGGCACUGUCUCAACGAGAGACUCGGUGAAAUCAUAGUACCUGUGAAGAUGCAGGUUACCCGCGACAGGACGGAAAGACCCCGUGGAGCUUUACUGUAGCCUGAUAUUGAAAUUCGGCACAGCUUGUACAGGAUAGGUAGGAGCCAUUGAAACGUGAGCGCUAGCUUACGUGGAGGCGUUGGUGGGAUACUACCCUAGCUGUGUUGGCUUUCUAACCCGCACCACUUAUCGUGGUGGGAGACAGUGUCAGGCGGGCAGUUUGACUGGGGCGGUCGCCUCCUAAAAGGUAACGGAGGCGCUCAAAGGUUCCCUCAGAAUGGUUGGAAAUCAUUCACAGAGUGUAAAGGCAUAAGGGAGCUUGACUGCGAGACCUACAAGUCGAGCAGGGUCGAAAGACGGACUUAGUGAUCCGGUGGUUCCGCAUGGAAGGGCCAUCGCUCAACGGAUAAAAGCUACCCCGGGGAUAACAGGCUUAUCUCCCCCAAGAGUUCACAUCGACGGGGAGGUUUGGCACCUCGAUGUCGGCUCAUCGCAUCCUGGGGCUGUAGUCGGUCCCAAGGGUUGGGCUGUUCGCCCAUUAAAGCGGUACGCGAGCUGGGUUCAGAACGUCGUGAGACAGUUCGGUCCCUAUCCGUCGUGGGCGUAGGAAAUUUGAGAGGAGCUGUCCUUAGUACGAGAGGACCGGGAUGGACAUACCUCUGGUGUACCAGUUGUCGUGCCAACGGCAUAGCUGGGUAGCUAUGUAUGGACGGGAUAAGUGCUGAAAGCAUCUAAGCAUGAAGCCCCCCUCAAGAUGAGAUUUCCCAACUUCGGUUAUAAGAUCCCUCGAAGAUGACGAGGUUAAUAGGUUCGAGGUGGAAGCGUGGUGACACGUGGAGCUGACGAAUACUAAUCGAUCGAAGACUUAAUCAA